AAAGCGCACGUAGGCGGCUUUGUAAGUAAGAGGUGAAAGCCCAGAGCUCAACUCUGGAAUUGCCUUUUAGACUGCAUCGCUUGAAUCAUGGAGAGGUCAGUGGAAUUCCGAGUGUAGAGGUGAAAUUCGUAGAUAUUCGGAAGAACACCAGUGGCGAAGGCGGCUGACUGGACAUGUAUUGACGCUGAGGUGCGAAAGCGUGGGGAGCAAACAGGAUUAGAUACCCCGGU
rnacentral:rRNA from 1 species